rnacentral:misc_RNA from 1 species
GUGAAUCAUCGAAUCUUUGAACGCACAUUGCGCCCCGUGGCAUUCCGCGGGGCAUGCCUGUUCGAGCGUCAUUUCAACCCUCAAGCUCUGGCUUGGUGUUGGGCGCGGCCCGCGUGGCCGGCCCCAAAGAUAGUGGCGGCACCUGUCGGGCCCUGAGCGCAGUACGACUCUCGCUCCGGGGCGUGGUGGUGGCCUGCCAGAACGCCUAUUCUAUGGUUGACCUCGGAUCAGGUAGGGUUACCCGCUGAACUUAAGCAUAUCAAUAAGCGGAGGA